GCUGGCGGCGUGCUUAACACAUGCAAGUACGUACGAGUAACUCUUCUGCUUGCAGAAGAUAGUAAAGUGGCGCACGGGUGAGUAACGCGUGGGUAAUCUACCUCCGAAUCGGGGAUAACCCGCCGAAAGGCGAGCUAAUACCGGAUAAUAUCUUUAAAACUUAGGUUUCUAAGAUCAAAGGUGGUCUCUACAUGUAAGCUACUGUUUGGAGAUGAGCCCGCGUACCAUUAGCUUGUUGGUAGGGUAAUGGCCUACCAAGGCCGCGAUGGUUAGCUGGUCUGAGAGGAUGAUCAGCCACACUGGAACUGACACACGGUCCAGACUCCUACGGGAGGCAGCAGUGAGGAAUUUUGCGCAAUGGGGGAAACCCUGACGCANCAACGCCGCGUGAGUGAUGAAGGCUUUCGGGUC
rnacentral:rRNA from 1 species